rnacentral:rRNA from 1 species
GUACCAACGCUUUGUCGGGGCAACUGAUUUGAAGAGCUUGCUCAGAUAUGACGAUGGACAUUGCAAAGAGUGGCGAACGGGUGAGUAACACGUGGGAAACCUACCUCUUAGCAGGGGAUAACAUUUGGAAACAGAUGCUAAUACCGUAUAACAAUGACAACCGCAUGGUUGUUAUUUAAAAGAUGGUUCUGCUAUCACUAAGAGAUGGUCCCGCGGUGCAUUAGCUAGUUGGUAAGGUAAUGGCUUACCAAGGCGAUGAUGCAUAGCCGAGUUGAGAGACUGAUCGGCCACAAUGGGACUGAGACACGGCCCAUACUCCUACGGGAGGCAGCAGUAGGGAAUCUUCCACAAUGGGCGAAAGCCUGAUGGAGCAACGCCGCGUGUGUGAUGAAGGGUUUCGGCUCGUAAAACACUGUUGUAAGAGAAGAAUGACAUUGAGAGUAACUGUUCAAUGUGUGACGGUAUCUUACCAGAAAGGAACGGCUAAAUACGUGCCAGCAGCCGCGGUAAUACGUAUGUUCCAAGCGUUAUCCGGAUUUAUUGGGCGUAAAGCGAGCGCAGACGGUUAUUUAAGUCUGAAGUGAAAGCCCUCAGCUCAACUGAGGAAUUGCUUUGGAAACUGGAUGACUUGAGUGCAGUAGAGGAAAGUGGAACUCCAUGUGUAGCGGUGAAAUGCGUAGAUAUAUGGAAGAACACCAGUGGCGAAGGCGGCUUUCUGGACUGUAACUGACGUUGAGGCUCGAAAGUGUGGGUAGCAAACAGGAUUAGAUACCCUGGUAGUCCACACCGUAAACGAUGAGUGCUAGGUGUUUGAGGGUUUCCGCCCUUAAGUGCCGCAGCUAACGCAUUAAGCACUCCGCCUGGGGAGUACGACCGCAAGGUUGAAACUCAAAGGAAUUGACGGGGACCCGCACAAGCGGUGGAGCAUGUGGUUUAAUUCGAAGCAACGCGAAGAACCUUACCAGGUCUUGACAUCCCUUGACAACUCCAGAGAUGGAGCGUUCCCUUCGGGGACAAGGUGACAGGUGGUGCAUGGUUGUCGUCAGCUCGUGUCGUGAGAUGUUGGGUUAAGUCCCGCAACGAGCGCAACCCUUAUUACUAGUUGCCAGCAUUCAGUUGGGCACUCUAGUGAGACUGCCGGUGACAAACCGGAGGAAGGUGGGGAUGACGUCAAAUCAUCAUGCCCCUUAUGACCUGGGCUACACACGUGCUACAAUGGCGUAUACAACGAGUUGCCAACCCGCGAGGGUGAGCUAAUCUCUUAAAGUACGUCUCAGUUCGGAUUGUAGGCUGCAACUCGCCUACAUGAAGUCGGAAUCGCUAGUAAUCGCGGAUCAGCACGCCGCGGUGAAUACGUUCCCGGGUCUUGUACACACCGCCCGUCACACCAUGAGAGUUUGUAACACCCAAAGCCGGUGGGGUAACCUUCGA